AUGGACGCCGCAACCGUAGCCCAAACGUGCCGCUCCUUCCGGCGAGCCGGCACCCCCAACCAACCGCAACCGCCUCCUCCUCCUCCCUCCCUAUAUAACCCCGCGCGCCACCACGCGGCAGCCUCAUCCAUUCCAAGUUUGCAGCCACACACCAUUCCAGCUCCGCACGCGGUCAACCGAGGGAACAACACAUCCGGAUCCAAAUCUCCCAGCCUCCCACAGCUCCGUCGCCGCUCGUCCCGAUCGAUCGACCUUGCGAUCGACUCCGUUUGUUGCCGCGCGUGCGCGCACAGCAGCACAUCCAUGGCCGUCGCCGCCGGAGGAGGAGUGGCGCUGAGUCUGCGCGGCCCGUCGUCGGCCUCGGCGUCGCCGGCGGUGGGGCGGCUGCGUAGGGUGUCGUCCUCGCCGGCUGUGAGGUGCGGGGCGACGCGGGAAAGGUGGCCGGCGGCGGGGGCCCCGUACGGGGUGCUGGAGGAGGACCACUACCGGACUCUGAGGCUGCAGCCGGGCGCCUCCAGGGGCGAGGUCAAGAAGGCCUUCCACCGCCUCGCGCUGCAGUACCACCCGGACGUCGUGCGCCGGGGCGGCGGGGACGGACACGAAGGCGACGCCAUCGACUUCGAGCGGAUCAACGCGGCGUACCAGACGGUGAUGCGCAACAUGCGGGAGGCGGAGGCGACGCUCGAGUACUGGCGCCGCCGCUACGGCCUCGCCGACGAGGACCUCGACCGCUACCGCCACUACCUCAACGACGACGACGAGGACGACUGGUUCUCCGACUUCUGA
rnacentral:rRNA from 1 species